GGGAUGGGACUCCCGGGAUUGAGGAUUUUGUGAUUGAUCUCUUGUACUCGACAUUUGUUGAUAGUAAAUUCGUUGAGACCGACCAUGCCAGUAGACGUAGGCUCACAUUGAGCCAAAGCACUUAAAUCUUGGUGCUCUGUGUAUGAUUGUUGAUUUUUUCUUUUUGCUUGCUUCCACUAUUUCACUUUAACUUUGCAUUUGAUAACCGGUUUAUUCCAACAAAUUGGUAUCAGAGAGCCAGACUCUGUGCGAGAUCUUGAGGGAUGGCUACGGCAAAGUUUGAAGUGGAGAAAUUCGACGGUCAGAACAAUUUCAAUUUAUGGCACAUCAAGAUG